GGCGCGGCUAGGCCCAUGGCCCCAACCUACCGGCGCCGCCGCGGGGACCCAGGACGCGCCUCUGCGCCGCCUCCGCUGCUCCAACAUGGCCGCCCGCUGCGCACCGGAAGUGCGCCGCGCUUCCGCUUCCGGGACCUGGCCCGCCCUAGUGACCUUUGACCCCCCGAGACCCCGUUUCCCCCAAUGUCUGGGGGCGUGACAGAUGUGCUUCUGGGAAAAGUGAGACACACUGGCCAUGAAAGAGGGACAAGAUAGUAGCGAGCACAGACAAGCACAAGGAUUUCUUCUCCUGAGUGACCACCAACCUGCAUGAAUAGGCUCCCAGCUCAAUACUCUGCAUGCUCAGAAGAUAGGCUGGGCCAGGGUCUGGGUCUGAAAUAAAUAGGCCUCUGUCACA